AAUGCCCCUCGAUGAAGACGUUUGCCUCCAGUUGGCCAAGGGAAUGGAAUACAUUCACGAAAACCGAUUGAUCCAUCGAGAUCUCAAACCGCACAACGUUCUCAUCCAGGUGAAUUCAACAGGGAGAGUGUCGAUGAAAUGGGCCGAUUUCGAACAAUGUGUACCAGUCGACGAAAGAGGAUGUUAC